UCUACUUACUCUGGUGCUUAUAAUAUAUUAUAUAUUGAUUCACGUUUCAUGCAUGCUGAAAGCGAGGGAAAAUAUAAACGGAGUGUCAUAUUGUGACCAUCAAGUGGUGAAGGAAAAGAGAUCUACAAGUGCUAGGAAAAUGGCGGUUUCUUCUUCCGUAGCACUUGCAAUCGGACUUGCCAAGAGUAGAAAUAUGUUAGAUGGCAUCUCACCAUUUCCCAAAACUAAAUAAUGCAUCACAGUGACGGUUAACAAACUUUGGAUAUUAUUCAGGCUUUUAAGCAACAAAGAGUUCCUGUAUCGGCUUCGCAACCAUUGAACGGAGGAGAAUGAAAACAGGGUUCCAUUGACGUGGCACGCACACAUGGUUGAUCAGGAGCCUUGUAGUUCUCUACCUUAUAGAGUAUCCAUGGCUUCAUUCCUCCAAGACCCUGA